UGUGUGUCUCUCAAUCUCGCUCUACUUCCUCUUCUUGUGUCCUCUCCAGUCCUGCGCUGCACUGCUUCAUUCGUGUCGACUGCCCAGAGUCCGCGAAUACAACCCUGCUACAACCACACACACAUCAUCUUAUCGUUCCUGUCCACUGGAGGAAGGAGAGUAGAGUUCCAACCAAUCCCUGACAAGAAGAAGACAUUCCGUUCCCAGCCACAUUCCAGAACCCUGUGGACCCCUUGUUGAAGCAUGUCUCUGUACAGCUUUGGGUUGGAGCCUCUCUCCUGUCAUGCCUGGAAUAAGGACAGGACACAGAUUGCUGUCAGCCCCAGAUAUUGCUGUGUG